CCGCGGUAAUACGGAGGGUGCAAGCGUUAUUCGGAAUUACUGGGCGUAAAGCGCACGUAGGCGGCUUCGUAAGUCAGGGGUGAAAUCCCACGGCUCAACCGUGGAACUGCCUUUGAGACUGCACGGCUAGAGUGUAGCAGAGGGGGGUAGAAUUCCACGUGUAGCAGUGAAAUGCGUAGAGAUGUGGAGGAAUACCGAUGGCGAAGGCAGCCCCUGGGUUACUACUGACGCUCAUGCACGAAAGCGUGGG
rnacentral:rRNA from 1 species